CUCGAGCGUUACUCGGAUUUACUGGGCGUAAAGGGUUCGUAGGCGGCCUUGUGUGUCGGGUGUGAAAUCCCACGGCUUAACCGUGGAACUGCGCCCGAAACUACAUGGCUAAAGUAUUGGAGAGGUGAGUGGAAUUCCAGGUGUAGCGGUGAAAUGCGUAGAUAUCUGGAGGAACACCAACGGCGAAGGCAGCUCACUGGACAAUUACUGACGCUGAGGAACGAAAGUGUGGGGAGCAAAAGGGAUUAGAUACCCCUGUAGUCCACACCGUAAACGUUGUGCACUCGCUAUUGGAGGAUUCGACCCCUUCAGUGGCUUAGCUAACGCAAUAAGUGCACCGCCUGAGGACUACGGCCGCAAGGCUAAAACUCAAAGGAAUUGACGGGUCCCCGCACAAGCGGUGGAGCAUGUGGCUUAAUUCGAUGCAACGCGAAGAACCUUACCAGGCCUUGACAUGGAGAGGACCGGUCUAGAGAUAGACCUUUCCUUCGGGACUUCUCCACAGGUGCUGCAUGGCUGUCGUCAGCUCGUGUCGUGAGAUGUUCGGUUAAGUCCGUCAACGAGCGCAACCCCUGUCCUUAGUUGCCAUCAUUUAGUUGGGGACUCUAAGGAGACAAUCCGACUUUUGUCGGAGGGAAGGUGGGGAUGAUGUCAAGUCAGUAUGGCCCUUACGGUCUGGGCUGCACACGUGCUACAAUGCCAAGUACAAUGAGAACCGAUACCGCGAGGUGGAGGAAAUCUACAAAGCUUGGCCCAGUUCGGAUUGGAGUCUGCAAUCUCGACUCCAUGAAGUUGGAAUCGCUAGUAAUGGCGCAUCAGCUACGGCGCCGUGAAUACGUUCCCGCGGGAUUGUACACACCGCCCGUCACAUCAUGAAAGCCGGUUUCGACCCGCAAGUAUGUGAGCCAACCCGCAAGGGAGGCAGCGUCACGACGGUGAGGCUGGUGAUUGAGGAUG
rnacentral:rRNA from 1 species